AAGGAUGUAGCUCAGUGGUAGAGAGUGUGCUUAGCAUGCAUGAGGUCCUGGGUUCAAUCCCCAGUACCUUCA
rnacentral:tRNA from 1 species